GUCAGAGACCACCCCUUCUGCGCCUCCAUAUAAACCCCACCCAGCCAGCCCUGAGCGCAGACGGCGGAGGCUGGGAGGCAGCGCGCCUCGGCCCGCCGGCCUUGGCCGCAGCUCCCCGGGAGAAGCGGGGCGCCCACACGAGAGUCUCCCCACCCGGGUCUCUUCAGGGAUGACAUCAUCCGUUCACCUCCACGUCUUCGAGGACCGCCUCUCGAUGCCAUGCUGCUGCCAAGAGGGCACUUGGAGACCCGACCCCUGGAUGGAAGCAGCGUCCAGAGAGACCCCCCACGGCCGCCUCGGGACCAGGGUGCCGAAGGAUGAAGAGGACCAGGACCGACCAGCCAGCUCUCCCUCUUGGCUAAAUGCUCAAACCAGUGCCCUACGCUCCAGGCAGCCCCUCCCCACGGGGCUCUCCUUUGCACCAGAUGAGAACGGAUUCGGCAUUGAUUUGAGUGAUCUGCAAAAGGUGGGUGGGCACGAGGACGUGAGGGAGCCCAGUGCCCUUCUCGUGGCACAGGCCACGUUCACAGUGGCGGUGGGGACGCUGAGGCUGGAGGAGUGUAAGUAUUCUGUCACGUUGUUGGCAAGAGAAGGGGUCAGAGUUGAACCCUGGGUGACACUGUGGCUGCCCCUUAGCCCGCUGGCCCGGAGUUCUCCUAAGAGCCCUUUAUGUCCAAGGACACCCUGGGCAGUGGGGUAG
rnacentral:lncRNA from 1 species